GCAGGAGUCAAGUGGUGGUUCAGUGGGGACGGAAUGAUUAACAAAGGCGUCCGAAGAAAUCGUUGUUGGAAGGUGACCAAGGUGGAAAGAGACGUUGCUUUGGCCCUGCAAGUAAGAAGAGAGAGGGAAUAGCCUGAAGGAGUAACACUAAAUUUAAAAUGACACUUUUUUACCAACCAGCGAAAGCAGAUGUUCAAAGGGGAUAUUGGCCAGAGUCUGUCACACUAAGAUGAGAAAUGUCCUUUCUUCCUGAAGGUGUCUGAUGUGUAAAAAUAUGAUAUACUUUGUGCUGUUUCCUCCCUUCCCUUUUGCAUAUUAUUCUGAAACAACAUUAACUAGUUACUUUGCGUCAUUGAAGAACUCACUUUGAGGCCAAGCGUGGUUG
rnacentral:lncRNA from 10 species